rnacentral:rRNA from 1 species
AACGAACGCUGGCGGCAUGCCUAACACAUGCGAGUCGAACGAGACCUUCGGGUCUAGUGGCGCACGGGUGCGUAACGCGUGGGAACCUGCCCUUAGGUUCGGAAUAACUCCCCGAAAGGGGUGCUAAUACCGGAUAAUGUCUUCGGACCAAAGAUUUAUCGCCUUUGGAUGGGCCCGCGUUGGAUUAGCUAGUUGGUAGGGUAAAAGCCUACCAAGGCGACGAUCCAUAGCUGGUCUGAGAGGAUGAUCAGCCACACUGGGACUGAGACACGGCCCAGACCCCUACGGGAGGCAGCAGUGGGGAAUAUUGGACAAUGGGCGAAAGCCUGAUCCAGCAAUGCCGCGUGAGUGAUGAAGGCCUUAGGGUUGUAAAGCUCUUUUACCCGGGAUGAUAAUGACAGUACCGGGAGAAUAAGCUCCGGCUAACUCCGUG